UACGUAGGGUGCAAGCGUUGUCCGGAAUUAUUGGGCGUAAAGAGCUCGUAGGCGGUUUGUCGCGUCGGCUGUGAAAACCCGAGGCUCAACCUCGGGCCUGCAGUGGGUACGGGCAAACUAGAGUGCGGUAGGGGAGAAUGGAAUUCCUGGUGUAGCGGUGGAAUGCGCAGAUAUCAGGAGGAACACCGGUGGCGAAGGCGGGUCUCUGGGCCGUAACUGACGCUGAGGAGCGAAAGCGUGGGGAGCGAACAGG
rnacentral:rRNA from 1 species